rnacentral:rRNA from 1 species
GCUCAGAUUGAACGCUGGCGGUAUGCUUAACACAUGCAAGUCGAACGGAAACGAAACUAGCUUGCUAGUAGGCGUCGAGUGGCGGACGGGUGAGUAACGCGUAGGAAUCUGCCUGAUAGUGGGGGAUAGCCCGAAGAAAUUCGGAUUAAUACCGCAUAAUCUAUUCGUAGUAAAGUGGGGGACUUUCGAGCCUCACGCUAUCAGAUGAGCCUGCGUAAGAUUAGCUUGUUGGUAGGGUAAAAGCCUACCAAGGCAACGAUCUUUAGCUGGUCUGAGAGGAUGAUCAGCCACAUCGGGACUGAGACACGGCCCGAACUCCUACGGGAGGCAGCAGUGGGGAAUAUUGGACAAUGGGGGCAACCCUGAUCCAGCAAUACCGCGUGUGUGAAGAAGGCCUGAGGGUUGUAAAGCACUUUCAAUUGUGAAGAAAAGUUAACGGUUAAUAACCGUUGACCUUGACGUUAACUUUAGAAGAAGCACCGGCUAACUCCGUGCCAGCAGCCGCGGUAAUACGGAGGGUGCAAGCGUUAAUCGGAAUUACUGGGCGUAAAGCGUGCGUAGGUGGUUUAUUAAGUCAGAUGUGAAAGCCCCGGGCUUAACCUGGGAACUGCAUUUGAAACUGGUCAACUAGAGUAUGGUAGAGGAAAGUGGAAUUUCUGGUGUAGCGGUGAAAUGCGUAGAUAUCAGAAGGAACAUCAAUGGCGAAGGCAGCUUUCUGGACCAAUACUGACACUGAGGUACGAAAGCGUGGGUAGCAAACAGGAUUAGAUACCCUGGUAGUCCACGCCGUAAACGAUGAUAACUAGCCGUUGGGGGGAUUUACCCCUUAGUGGCGAAGCUAACGCGUUAAGUUAUCCGCCUGGGGAGUACGGCCGCAAGGCUAAAAC